rnacentral:rRNA from 1 species
GCUAAACGCGAAGAACCUUACCAAGGCUUGACAUACACCAGAACACCCUGGAAACAGGGGACUCUUUGGACACUGGUGAACAGGUGGUGCAUGGUUGUCGUCAGCUCGUGUCGUGAGAUGUUGGGUUAAGUCCCGCAACGAGCGCAACCCUCGUUCUAUGUUGCCAGCACGUUAUGGUGGGAACUCAUGGGAUACUGCCGGGGUUAACUCGGAGGAAGGUGGGGAUGACGUCAAAUCAUCAUGCCCCUUAUGUCUUGGGCUUCACGCAUGCUACAAUGGCCGGUACAAAGGGCUGCAAUACCGUGAGGUGGAGCGAAUCCCAAAAAGCCGGUCCCAGUUCGGAUUGAGGUCUGCAACUCGACCUCAUGAAGUCGGAGUCGCUAGUAAUCGCAGAUCAGCAACGCUGCGGUGAAUA